rnacentral:rRNA from 1 species
UACGAGUGCCCAAGCGUUAUCCGGAAUUAUUGGGCGUAAAGGGUGUGUAGGUGGUCUUGUUAGUCUUCUGUGAAAUUCUUCGGCUUAACCGGGGGUCCGCAGGGGAAACGGCAGGACUAGAGGAUGCGAGAGGUGUGCGGAACUCAUGGUGUAGGGGUGAAAUCCGUUGAUAUCAUGGGGAACACCGAAAGCGAAGGCAGCACACUGGCGCACUCCUGACACUGAAACACGAAAAGCGUGGGUAGCGAAUGGG